GCCAGGGUGGUGUAAUGGUUAGCACAUGUGCCUUGUGAGCAGGAGACUUGGGUUCGAAUCCCAGCCUUGGUA